rnacentral:rRNA from 1 species
GAUGAACGCUAGCUACAGGCUUAACACAUGCAAGUCGCGGGACCGGCGCACGGGUGAGUAACGCGUAUCCAACCUGCCCUUCACCACGGGAUAACCCGGCGAAAGUCGGACUAAUACCGUAUGGUGAAGGAUGGGGUGGCGUCCGAUUAGCUUGACGGCGGGGUAACGGCCCGCCGUGGCUACGAUGGGUAGGGGUUCUGAGAGGCAGGUCCCCUGCACUGGAACUGAGACACGGUCCAGACUCCUACGGGAGGCAGCAGUGAGGUGUAUUGGUCGCGGGACGUUAGCAGGAACCAGCCAAGUAGCGUGCAGGACGACGGCCUAUGGGUUGUAAACUGCUUUUAUGCAGGGAUAGGUACCGCAUGAAUAAGGACCGGCUAAUUCCGUGCCAGCAGCCGCGGUAAUUC